rnacentral:tRNA from 4 species
GCAUCGUAUAGUGGCUAUUACCUCAGCCUUCCAAGCUGAUGACGCGGGUUCGAUUCCCGCUGCCC